UUUCAGGCCCUUUUUAGGGCCACAUGUACAGUGGUAAAAGAUUGU
rfam:Camelus ferus unplaced genomic scaffold scaffold1129, whole genome shotgun sequence.